rnacentral:rRNA from 1 species
UUCUGGCUCAGGAUGAACGCUGGCGGCGUGCUUAACACAUGCAAGUCGAGCGAGAAGCUCGUGAACGAUUCUUCGGAUGAGUGAUCGAGUGGAAAGCGGCGGACGGGUGAGUAACGCGUAGGCAACCUGCCCCAUACAAAGGGAUAGCUACUGGAAACGGUAAUUAAUACCUCAUAACACGGAGAGACCGCAUGAUCUUUCCGUCAAAGAUUUAUCGGUAUGGGAUGGGCCUGCGUCUGAUUAGCUGGUUGGUGGGGUAACGGCCCACCAAGGCGACGAUCAGUAGCCGACCUGAGAGGGUAAACGGCCACAUUGGAACUGAGACACGGUCCAAACUCCUACGGGAGGCAGCAGUGGGGAAUAUUGCACAAUGGGGGGAACCCUGAAUGCAGCAACGCCGCGUGAGCGAAGAAGGCCUUUGGGUCGUAAAGCUCUGUCCUGAAGGAAGAAGGAAGUGACGGUACUUCAGGAGGAAGCCCCGGCUAACUACGUGCCAGCAGCCGC